rnacentral:pre_miRNA from 1 species
AAAAAGACAAACCUUGGUUUCCGUGUCCAACGUUUGACUGUCCGUCUUAUUUGAAAAAAUUAUGAAAAAAAUUAAAAAGACAAGUCACGCAUAAAAUAUUAUGUUUUAUCAUCUAACAACAAUAAAAAUACGAAUUAUAAAAAAAUUUUAUAUAAGACGGACAAUCAAAGUUGGACACGAAAACCCAGGGUUUAUU